rnacentral:rRNA from 1 species
CAGUAGCCGCGGGAAUACGAAGGGGGCUAGCGUUGUUCGGAUUUACUGGGCGUAAAGCGCACGCAGGCGGACUUUUAAGUCAGGGGUGAAAUCCCGGGGCUCAACCCCGGAACUGCCUUUGAUACUGGGAGUCUUGAGUUCGUGAGAGGUGAGUGGAAUUGCGAGUGUAGAGGUGAAAUUCGUAGAUAUUCGCAGGAACACCAGUGGCGAAGGCGGCUCACUGGCUCGAUACUGACGCUGAGGUGCGAAAGCGUGGGGAGCAAACAGGAUUAGAUACCCCCGUAGUCCCUGUCUCUUAUAC